GCGCGAAACCUCCGCAAUGUGAGAAAUCGCGACGGGGGGACCCCAAGUGCCAUUCUUAACGGGAUGGCUUUUCUUAAGUGUAAAAAGCUUUGGAAUAAGAGCUGGGCAAGACCGGUGCCAGCCGCCGCGGUAACACCGGCAGCUCUAGUGGUAGCCAUUUUAUUGGGCCUAAAGCGUUCGUAGCCGGUUUAAUAAGUCUCUGGUGAAAUCCCGUAGCUUAACUAUGGGAAUUGCUGGAGAUACUAUUAGACUUGAGGUCGGGAGAGGUUAGAGGUACUCCCAGGGUAGGGGUGAAAUCCUGUAAUCCUGGGAGGACCACCUGUGGCGAAGGCGUCUAACUGGAACGAACCUGACGGUGAGGGACGAAAGCUAGGGGCGCGAACCGGAUUAGAUACCCGGGUAGUCCUAGCCGUAAACGAUGCGGACUUGGUGUUAGGAUGGCUUUGAGCCGCCCUAGUGCCGAGGCGAAGCUGUUAAGUCCGCCGCCUGGGAAGUACGGUCGCGAGACUGAAACUUAAAGGAAUUGGCGGGGGAGCACCACAACGCGUGGAGCCUGCGGUUU
rnacentral:rRNA from 1 species